UACGGAGGGGGCUAGCGUUGUUCGGAAUUACUGUGCGUAAAGCGCGCGUAGGCGGACCUGCAAGUCGGGGGUGAAAGCCCGAGGCUCAACCUCGGAACUGCCUUCGAUACUGCGGGUCUCGAGUCCGGGAGAGGUGAGUGGAAUUCCUAGUGUAGAGGUGAAAUUCGUAGAUAUUAGGAAGAACACCAGUGGCGAAGGCGGCUCACUGGCUCGGUUCUGACGCUGAGGCGCGAAAGCGUGGGGAGCAAACAGG
rnacentral:rRNA from 1 species